UUUAAGUGCAACCAUAAGUUUCCGCGCCCCACUUUGAUCGUUCGUCUUAUUUAAAAAUUUUGUAUAAUUAAUAUUUUUGUUGUUAUGAGAUAAUAAAACAUGAAUAGUACUUUACUCGUGACUUAUGUAUUUAAUUUUUUUUAAAAUUUUUUUUCAAAUAAGAUGAACAGUUAAAAUUGGGUACGAAAAAUUAUGGUUAUACUUAAA
rfam:Oryza nivara chromosome 10, whole genome shotgun sequence.